CAGAACGAACGCUGGCGGCAUGCCUAAUACAUGCAAGUCGAACGAACACUUCGGUGUUAGUGGCGCACGGGUGCGUAACGCGUGGGAAUCUGCCCUUGGGUUCGGAAUAACAGUUGGAAACGACUGCUAAUACCGGAUGAUAUCGAAAGAUCAAAGAUUUAUCGCCCAGGGAUGAGCCCGCGUAGGAUUAGCUAGUUGGUGAGGUAAAGGCUCACCAAGGCGACGAUCCUUAGCUGGUCUGAGAGGAUGAUCAGCCACACGUGGGACUGAGA
rnacentral:rRNA from 1 species